rnacentral:rRNA from 1 species
AGAGUUUGAUCCUGGCUCAGAAUGAACGCUGGCGGCAGGCCUAACACAUGCAAGUCGAACGGAUCCUUCGGGAUUAGUGGCGGACGGGUGAGUAACGCGUGGGAACGUGCCCUUUUCUACGGAAUAGCCUCGGGAAACUGGGAGUAAUACCGUAUAAGCCCUUCGGGGGAAAGAUUUAUCGGGAAAGGAUCGGCCCGCGUUGGAUUAGGUAGUUGGUGGGGUAAUGGCCUACCAAGCCGACGAUCCAUAGCUGGUUUGAGAGGAUGAUCAGCCACACUGGGACUGAGACACGGCCCAGACUCCUACGGGAGGCAGCAGUGGGGAAUCUUAGACAAUGGGGGAAACCCUGAUCUAGCCAUGCCGCGUGAUCGAUGAAGGCCUUAGGGUUGUAAAGAUCUUUCAGAUGGGAAGAUAAUGACGGUACCAUCAGAAGAAGCCCCGGCUAACUCCGUGCCAGCAGCCGCGGUAAUACGGAGGGGGCUAGCGUUAUUCGGAAUUACUGGGCGUAAAGCGCACGUAGGCGGAUAAGAAAGUCAGAGGUGAAAUCCCAGGG